UAUUAAGUGGCCGAAUAUUUAAGCACUAGAUUUUUAAUCUAGCUAAUGAUUUUUAUAAUCCUUAAUGG
rnacentral:tRNA from 1 species